rnacentral:rRNA from 1 species
UCGAGCGGAUGACGGGAGCUUGCUCCUUGAUUCAGCGGCGGACGGGUGAGUAAUGCCUAGGAAUCUGCCUGGUAGUGGGGGACAACGUUUCGAAAGGAACGCUAAUACCGCAUACGUCCUACGGGAGAAAGCAGGGGACCUUCGGGCCUUGCGCUAUCAGAUGAGCCUAGGUCGGAUUAGCUAGUUGGUGGGGUAAUGGCUCACCAAGGCGACGAUCCGUAACUGGUCUGAGAGGAUGAUCAGUCACACUGGAACUGAGACACGGUCCAGACUCCUACGGGAGGCAGCAGUGGGGAAUAUUGGACAAUGGGCGAAAGCCUGAUCCAGCCAUGCCGCGUGUGUGAAGAAGGUCUUCGGAUUGUAAAGCACUUUAAGUUGGGAGGAAGGGCAGUAAGCUAAUACCUUGCUGUUUUGACGUUACCGACAGAAUAAGCACCGGCUAACUCUGUG